rnacentral:tRNA from 1 species
GGCGUAUUCGUCUAGCGGCCCAGGACGCUGGCCUCUCACGCCAGAAACAGGGGUUCGACUCCCCUAUACGCCACUA